AGAGUUUGAUCCUGGCUCAGAGCGAACGCUGGCGGCAGGCCUAACACAUGCAAGUCGAGCGCCCCGCAAGGGGAGCGGCAGACGGGAGAGUAACACGUGGGAACGUGCCCUUCAGUUCGGAACAACCCAGGGAAACUUGGGCUAAUACCGGAUACGUCCGUAAGGAGAAAGAUUUAUCGCUGAAGGAGCGGCCCGCGUCUGAUUAGCUAGUUGGUGAGGUAACGGCUCACCAAGGCGACGAUCAGUAGCUGGUCUGAGAGGAUGAUCAGCCUCACUGGGACUGAGACACGGCCCAGACUCCUACGGGAGGCAGCAGUGGGGAAUAUUGGACAAUGGGCGCAAGCCUGAUCCAGCCAUGCCGCGUGGGUGAUGAAGGCCCUAGGGUUGUAAAGCCCUUUCGGCGGGGAAGAUAAUGACGGUACCCGCAGAAGAAGCCCCGGCUAACUUCGUGCCAGCAGCCGCGGUAAUACGAAGGGGGCUAGCGUUGCUCGGAAUCACUGGGCGUAAAGCGCACGUAGGCGGCUUGUUAAGUCAGGGGUGAAAUCCUGGAGCUCAACUCCAGAACUGCCUUUGAUACUGGCGAGCUUGAGUC
rnacentral:rRNA from 1 species